GUCGAGGGGUAUAGUAGCAAUACUAGAGACCGGCGCACGGGUGCGUAACGCGUAUGCAAUCUACCUUUUGCAGAGGGAUAGCCCAGAGAAAUUUGGAUUAAUACCUCAUAGUAUAACGACUCGGCAUCGAGAUGUUAUUAAAGUCACAACGGCAAAAGAUGAGCAUGCGUCCCAUUAGUUAGUUGGUAAGGUAACGGCUUACCAAGACUACGAUGGGUAGGGGUCCUGAGAGGGAGAUCCCCCACACUGGUACUGAGACACGGACCAGACUCCUACGGGAGGCAGCAGUGAGGAAUAUUGGACAAUGGGCGCAAGCCUGAUCCAGCCAUGCCGCGUGCAGGAUGACGGUCCUAUGGAUUGUAAACUGCUUUUGCACAGGAAGAAACAACGCUACGUGUAGCGUCUUGACGGUACUGUGAGAAUAAGGAUCGGCUAACUCCGUGCCAGCAGCCGCGGUAAUACGGAGGAUCCAAGCGUUAUCCGGAAUCAUUGGGUUUAAAGGGUCCGUAGGCGGUCUUAUAAGUCAGUGGUGAAAUCUCCCCGCUCAACGGGGAAACGGCCAUUGAUACUGUAGGACUUGAAUUAUUAGGAAGUAACUAGAAUAUGUAGUGUAGCGGUGAAAUGCUUAGAGAUUACAUGGAAUACCAAUUGCGAAGGCAGGUUACUACUAAUGGAUUGACGCUGAUGGACGAAAGCGUGGGUAGCGAACAGGAUUAGAUACCCUGGUAGUCCACGCCGU
rnacentral:rRNA from 1 species